AUAAUUGAUAACCGGUAAGGAAAAUUUUUGUUUAAUGACACGCAUAAUUAGUAUUCUUGUUACAAUGGACUAUGAACUGAUACUAAACAAAUUUUUUAUCUGCAACACUAUAAAUUGAUGUUUGUUUUACUAAUUUAGUCAGUUAGUGCUUAAUGGCGAGAGGUGAAGGUUUACUUAAUAGCAGCAUAAACAAGUUACCGAUCGAAUUGCAUCUUCCGGGGUAUCAAUACUGUGGUCCUGGUACAAAGUUAGCAAAAAGACUUAAUCGACAAGAUCCAGGAAUAAAUAAACUUGAUCAGUAUUGUAAAGUUCACGAUAUAGAAUACUCUAAAUCAAAUAAUUUGAAAGAUAGACAUAAAGCUGAUCAAAUUUUGGAAAACAAAGCCUGGUCACGUGUAAUAUCAAAAGACGCUAAAUUUGGUGAAAAAGCAAGUGCGUGGUUGGUAACAAAUAUUAUGAAACUAAAAAGAAAACUCGGAAUGGGUAUUAAAAGAACAACAAAGAAGAAAACAAUUAAGAAGAAAAAAACUCGUAAAUGUCAAAGAGGAAUAAAAAGAACUCGUAAAUGUGGAAGAGGAAUGAAAAAAACACGUCAACAACAACAACAACAACAACAACAACAACAACAACAACAACAACAACAACAUAAUGGAAAGACAAAAAUGAAUUUAAGAAAAAGAUGUAAUACAAAAAAACGAAUUGGAUUUCAAGCUGGUAUUAUUAAUAGUCUAAGAAAAAGUGGUUUAACAGAAAAUCAUAAAAUAAGUACUAUUCUAAAACACGCACGAGCAGCAGUUAAAGCAGCAGGAGGGAAAAAAAAUAUUAAAGUCCCUAGAAUUAUCCCUAUUAAAAAAGGAGGACUUAUACCACUUUUACCUUUAAUUUUUGGUGGACUUAGUGCACUAGGAAGUUUAGGUGCUGGUGCUGCUACAGUGGCUCGUGCAGUAAAUAAUGCAAAAAGUGCACAGAAAAAAUUAGAAGAAGCACAACGGCAUAAUAAAACUAUGGAAGCAAUAGCUAUUGGAAAAAAAGGAAGCGGUCUUUAUUUAAAACGUUUGCGAAAAGGAUAUGGCUUAUUUUUAAAAAAAUUUUCAAAAAACUCCCAAUAAAGCUACCCAAGAAAGCAUUAACUAAUCAAAAUUUACUAAAAUAUGCUAAAAUCUUAAAACUUACAGAUUUUCGAGGUGUAUUUAUGAAAGAUAAAUUACCACAACAUUGUUUUAAUUAUGAAAGUGGAAUAGUAAAUCUUGAUGAUAAUAAAGGAGAAGGCACACAUUGGGUAGCUUAUAAAAAAAAUAAAAAAAUUGUGCAUUAUUUUGAUAGUUUUGGCAACUUUAAGCCACCAAAAUCCCUAAUUAAUUAUUUUAAAAACUGUAAAAUUUAUUAUAACCAUGAUAAAUUUCAAAAUCUAACCUAUAAUUGUGGACAUUUGUGUUUAAAAUUUCUAUAUAAUAUGAAACAUAAUUAAAUUAAAUCAGUUUCAUUCUAACAGUUGUCAUGUUUGUUCUUCUUUUAUUUACUGAUACGAAAAGUGUUUUGAGUGUUAAUCUGUCACCACCAAUUUAUAUUGAUAAUAAUUAUAUAUAUUCUCUAGCACUAAUUGGAUUAGAUACUUAUAAUCACAUACCAAAUAUUGAAGAUGGUACUGAUAAGUUAUAUUAUAACACAAUAACCAAAAAUCCUUCAAAUAAUCAAAUUGUUAGAACACAAAACGUAAUUCGUCUUCCUAAAGGAACAUUUGAAAUUUCAGAUAUCGAAAAAUACAUUCAAGAUAAUUUAGUUGGAAGUGAAGUAAGUGAGAAAGAAAGAAAUACAUUUUUUUCAUUAAAACCAAAUAUAAAUACAUUAAAGUGUGAAAUAAAAAGCAUAUACGAAAUAGACUUUACGCCAGCUGAUUCAAUUUCUAAAAUCCUAGGCUUUUCCAAUAAAAUAUUACAAGCAAAUCAAUUACAUGAAAGCGAUUUACCUGUAAAUAUUAUCAAGGCAAAUUCAAUAAGGGUAGACUGUAAUAUAAUAGAAGGCUCAUAUUUAAACGGAAAUUUAUAUCAUAGUUUAUAUCAAAGUCCAAUUACUGUAAGUCCAGCUGAACAAAUUGUAAUAAGUCCCCAAAAUCAUAUUUAUUUACCUAUAGAUAGACAACAAGUCAUAGAAAAUAUUACCCUAAAACUUGUUGAUCAAAACAGUGAAUUAAUUGAUUUUAACGGGCAAACAAUCAAUAUUCAAUUAGCAUUAAAAAUUGAAAGAAAAUAAUAUUGAAUAUGAGAUUAAUCUAUAAAGAUGAGAGUUCCACCAGUUUCUUAUCAGUACCAAAUGAACCAUCUAGCCGUUCAUUAGCUAUAACAAGUGGUUCUUCAAAAAACUUAAAAUCUACAAAAAAACUAACCUUAAAAUCGAAAACAAAAUUAACCUCAAAAAGUAUCAAGAUUUUAAAAUCAUUAGGUUACAAUGUCGUUAAUAUCAAACGUACUCCAAAUCUUUCGAAAACCUACACAAGACGAAAGUAUUGAAAGGACAGAAGAACACACAUAUAAUCCUCAAAAUCAACUAUUUAGAAAUAAUGAUCGCAUAAAUUUUAUUAUUAAUCAAGAAAACGUAUGGAUAUUAUGGAAAAAAUCAUAUAUUAAAAUCAAUUGUACCUUAGAAUGGGAUCCACUUCCUGCAAACACAACUGAAGAAGCAUUUGGUCAAGUUACUUUAACCAAUAAUAUCGGUCCAUUUUUAUUUGAUUCUAUUUCAUAUUACCUUAAUAAUACUGAAAUAGAUAGUGUAGACCAAGUUGGUUUGGUUUCAACAGUUAAAACAUAUCUUUGUUUUAUGAAAAAUGAAUUUGAGGAAUAUCAGUCUCUAGGAUGGACAAAAAAUUUAAAUGAUCAACUUUAUACAUUUGAUCCGAGAACUAAAAAGUUUUCUCUUAAAUUAAAAUUAUCUCAAAUGUUAAAUUUACCAUUUACUUAUGAACGUAUUAUGUGUGGCACUCAUAAAAUAAGUUUAGUAAGAUCUAGAACAGAUGAUAAUUGUUAUGUGAGUACAGGAGUAAGAAAAGCUCGAAUUACUAUAACAGAUAUGAAUUUAGUAGCUUUACAUGUUUAUCCUGCUGCUAAAAUUCAACUUCAGUUACUUGAUUCAAUAAAAAAAAAUCGUGCAAUUCCAUUAGCUUUUCAAAAAUGGGAAAUACAGUCUAAGGAUUUACCAGACGCUAAAACAACUUCAUGGAAAAUUCAAACCAUUCAACGUGUUGAACGUCCUAAUUGGAUUAUUGUAUUUUUUCAAACUGAACGAGAUUUUAAUUCACGAAAAAAUAGCACUCAUUUUGAUCAUAUUAACUUACAAAAUAUAAGAUUAAAAAUUAACAGCAGAUAUAUUCCUUACGAUAAGUGGAGACUUGAUUUUACAAAAAAUUAUUAUGAAGAAGCUUAUGAUGCUUAUACUGAGUUUUAUAAAACCUAUUAUCAAAAAAAUCGCCAUCAACCAUUUUUAAAUUAUAAUGAAUAUAAAAAUUCACCUUUAUUUAUAAUUGACUGUACGACUAAUGUACACGAAAAUGCUUUCUCUUCCGAAAUGGAUGCCACAAUCGAAAUUGAAAGUUCAGAAAAUUUUCCAAUUCAUACAAAAGCCUACUAUAUAAUUAUUCAAGAUCGAGUCGGAAGUUAUAAUGCAAUAUCAGAAGCAAUUACCAUGUUUCCAUAAUCUUAAUUUAGAUUAGAUUCGUUCAAUUUAGUUUAAUUUAGUUUAAUUUAGUUUAGUUUAAUUUAAUUUAAUUAUAGUAAUUUUAAAUGAAAAUUCAAUAAGUAUGAGUCAUUAUCUUUCGAGUAUAAAUUUAGAACCAACUGCAGAUAAGAAAUAUUAUAUAAAAAAAAAACAACUGUUUCCAUGUAUCAGAACAUCUUGGGGUUUUUAACACAAAACACGAUGACAAAAUUAAAUACAGGUUUCAACGUUAAAGAAAAGAACAAAAAAAACGAAAAGAAUGAAAAGAACAAAAAAAACCAAAAUAAUGAAGAGGAGGAAAUUAAUAAAGAUAUUUCUUGGGACGUACGAGUAAUUAAAAAAGGCGAUGACUUUUCACUUCUUUUAUCGUUUUUUUUUACUUACGCUUUUAAUGCAAUAGGAUUUUUAAUAAUAAUGAUAAUGUGUUUUUCCAAAAAAACAUAUAUUACAAUGGCUGGGUAUUAUGGAGCUUUAAUGGGAUUAGCAGUAUCGAUACUUCACUACGGUCUAAGUUUAUUCUUUACAUUCCUAAGGACUAACAAAACUGACACUUCCAUUUUAAUUUCUUCUUUAUUAAUAUGUAUUUCAGCAUUGGUGUUGUAUAUCAAUUGGAUAAUGUUUUUUUAUAAAUUUUAUAACUUUCAAAAUCAAGCGUGUAUAUUAAUUACAAAAAAUAAAAUAUCUAAUCCUUA